rnacentral:lncRNA from 10 species
ACUUCCGGAGCUGACUUCACUUCGAGGAACCUUUUCCCUCCAGGAAUCAAGGAUUUUCUUUUGCUUUGUGGCCGGAUUUUGCUACUGCUUGCUCUUCUUACUUUAACUAUUUCUGUGACUACCUCAUGGCUUAACUCAUUUAAAUCUCCCCAAGUUUAUCUGAAGGAAGAAGAAGAAAAGAAUGAGAAAAGACAAAAACUUGUGAGAAAAAAACAACAAGAAGCACAAGGAGAGAAGGUAAGCAGAUACAUAGAGAAUGUUUUAAAACCUCACCAGGAAAUGAAAUUGAGAAAACUGGAGGAGCGCUUUUAUCAAAUGACGGGUGAAGCCUGGAAAUUAAGCAGUGGUCACAAACUUGGGGGUGAUGAAGGUACAAGUCAGACAUCUUUUGAAACAUCAAACAGAGAAGCAGCAAAGAGCCAGAACUUGCCUAAACCUUUAACUGAAUUUCCGUCUCCUGCUGAACAGCCCACAUGCAAGGAGGUCUUAUUUGACUGGAUGACGAGAAUUGGGUACCACAUAUCUCUAUACAGCCUUUCUACUUCCUUUCCCAGACGGCCUCUGGCAGUGGAGGGAGGCCAGUCGCUGGAGGACAUAGGAAUAACUGUGGACACUGUACUCAUCCUGGAGGAGAAGGAGCAGACCAACUAGGAAAGAAGGGAGAGCUCCCUGUUUGCAUGAAGUCAGUUAUGCUAUGACCUUCUGGCACAAUAAAGGCUUCACUUUCAAAUCACACUAUACCUUGAUUGAGCUCAUGGCAGUAAACUUUGAACAUUGAUAUCCAUGGGAAUAGGAUUAGAAAAGGAUUGCUUUCUAUAUAUAAUAAUCUGUGGACUGUGCCAUUUUACAGUGUACCAAAUGAGAAUGAGGUUGAAAUGUAUGCAGUAAGGUACUCAGUAAUUAAUUGGUAUUUUUUCCCAGCUGACAUGAUUUCUCAGUGUUAGAAAACAAACCCUUAGAACUUUCCUUUCUGCCUCUUCAAUCCAUCUUACCACACAAUAUUUCAUGAUUCAAAUUCUUCAAAGUCUUAUACGCAGGAAUGUUUAUUCUGCUGUAUUUCUGUGAAAUUAAAAACUUGGAAGAAGCUUCAAAGCUCUUGGAGGCUUUAAAGUUCUUUCUGUUGGGUGUGCAUUACAGUUUACUUAACUGAUGUUUGCGAUUUAUAUAAUUUUGCCUUGUAUUAAAUGUUACAAAGUUCCAAAUGAAUCAGUAUUUUAAAAAAUAAAACUAUGAAAGCAUUAAAAUAUAGGUGAAUUUUUAAAACUGUAUCUAUCUCAUCAUUUCCCUCUCUUGCUUAUAAGCCUAUAAUGAUAAAGUCAUGCACUGUAACACCAAGUUCAGACACCAAAUGUGGUAUAAAAGGCUUUUAACUUUGUUCUACUCACUCCUUUUUUUUCUCAUGCUCUGUUUUAAAAGUCUGCUCAGGCCGGGUGUGGUGGCUCACGCCUGUAAUCCCAGCACUUUGAGAGGCCGAGGCGGGCAGAUCUUGAGGUGAAGAGAUUGAGACCAGGCAGGGCACAGUGGCUCACGCCCAUUAUCCCAGCACUUUGGGAGGCCAAGGCGGGUGGGCCAUGAGGUCAGGAGUUCAACACCAGCCUGGCCAAGAUGGUGAAAUCCCAUCUCUACUAAAAAUACAAAAAUUAGCCAGGUUGAGUAGCAGGUGCCUGUAAUUCCCAACUACUUGGGAGACUGAGGCAGGAGAAUCGCUUGAACUCGGCCAGCAGAGGUUUCAGUGAGCUUAGAUCAUGCCACUGCACUCCAGAUGGCGACAGAGUGAGACUGUGUCUCAAAAAAAAGAAAAAAAAAAAGAGUUCAAGACCACCCUGACCAACAUGGUGAAACCCCAUCUCUACUAAAAAUACAAAAAUUGGCUGGGCGC